rnacentral:rRNA from 1 species
UGUCGUCAGCUCGUGUUGUGAAAUGUUGGGUUAAGUCCCGCAACGAGCGCAACCCUUAUCCUUUGUUGCCAGCGGUCCGGCCGGGAACUCAAAGGAGACUGCCAGUGAUAAACUGGAGGAAGGUGGGGAUGACGUCAAGUCAUCAUGGCCCUUACGACCAGGGCUACACACGUGCUACAAUGGCGCAUACAAAGAGAAGCGACCUCGCGAGAGCAAGCGGACCUCAUAAAGUGCGUCGUAGUCCGGAUUGGAGUCUGCAACUCGAUUCCAUGAAGUCGGAAUCGCUAGUAAUCGUGGAUCAGAAUG